rnacentral:lncRNA from 1 species
GAGAUGUACCAUACCGGUGAAUGACUUACUCGAUAGUUCGCAAAUUGUAGCUACAUACAAAUGGAGGUAGAAAGUGGGCUAAGAAUAGGGAGCUUCUCCAUUACAAAUGAGAAGUUUACUGACUUGCAAGAAAGAAGUGUAUCUAAGUGCGUAGGAGUAUGAGGCAACAGGAACCAAAUGAUCACAUUACGAGAUGACCAACCAUUAAAGCUAGACAAUCAGCAACAUCGAUUGAUCGAGGAUCGAAGGCUAGGAAAAAACAGAUGUUCCAUAGUGAAUACAAAUGUUAAUAAAGAAAAAAAGAUAUAUAUAACACAAAUAUAUUACCAAAUCAAAUAAUCAAGAGAAGAUCAUGAUAUAUGCUCUGCUCGACGACUAGGAGAUCAGUCAGAUUUUGUUUCUCUGCUCGAAUGCUAGCAAUAUUAAGGGCGACACGCGUAGGGAUCGUCCUAGGAUGAGCUCAGGAUCACGACCGGAAAGAAAAUAGAAGGCAAGAAGCCCAGCUAGCGGAGAAAUAGGUAACUGUCACUCCUGGCCAUCUGUAUUAAUGAUGUGAGAUUAGGUGUGCAAUGUUUAGAUAGGCU